rnacentral:tRNA from 1 species
GUCAGGAUGGCCGAGCUGUCCAAGGCGCUGCGUUCAGGUCGCAGUCCGGUCUUCCGGGCGUGGGUUCGAAUCCCACUUCUCACA